rnacentral:rRNA from 1 species
GACGAACGCUGGCGGCGUGCUUAACACAUGCAAGUCGAACGGUAAGGCCCUUCGGGGUACACGAGUGGCGAACGGGUGAGUAACACGUGGGUGAUCUGCCCUGCACUUCGGGAUAAGCCUGGGAAACUGGGUCUAAUACCGGAUAAGACCACUGCAUGCAUGGGUGGUGGUGGAAAGCUUUUGUGGUGUGGGAUGGGGCCGCGGCCUAUCAGCUUGUUGGUGGGGUGAUGGCCUACCAAGGCGACGACGGGUAGCCGGCCGGAGAGGGUGACCGGCCACACUGGGACUGAGAUACGGCCCAGACUCCUACGGGAGGCAGCAGUGGGGAAUAUUGCACAAUGGGCGCAAGCCUGAUGCAGCGACGCCGCGUGAGGGAUGACGGCCUUCGGGUUGUAAACCUCUUUCAGCACCGACGAAGCGCGAGUGACGGUAGGUGCAGAAGAAGGACCGGCCAACUACGUGCCAGCAGCCGCCGUAA